rnacentral:rRNA from 1 species
CAGCCGCCGCGGUAAUACGUAGGUGGCAAGCGUUGUCCGGAAUUAUUGGGCGUAAAGGGCUCGCGGGCGGUUUCUUAAGUCUGAUGUGAAAGCCCCCGGCUCAACCGGGGAGGGUCAUUGGAAACUGGGAAACUUGAGUGCAGAAGAGGAGAGUGGAAUUCCACGUGUAGCGGUGAAAUGCGUAGAGAUGUGGAGGAACACCAGUGGCGAAGGCGACUCUCUGGUCUGUAACUGACGCUGAGGAGCGAAAGCGUGGGGAGCGAACAGGAUUAGAUACCCCCGUAGUCCCUGUCUCUUAUAC